rnacentral:rRNA from 2 species
UACGAGUAUGAGAGUUUGAUCAUGGCUCAGAGCGAACGCUGGCGGCAGGCUUAACACAUGCAAGUCGAACGGGUAUCUUCGGAUACUAGUGGCAGACGGGUGAGUAACACGUGGGAACGUACCUUUCGGUUCGGAAUAAUUCAGGGAAACUUGGACUAAUACCGGAUAAGCCCUUCGGGGGAAAGAUUUAUCGCCGAUAGAUCGGCCCGCGUCUGAUUAGCUAGUUGGUGAGGUAACGGCUCACCAAGGCGACGAUCAGUAGCUGGUCUGAGAGGAUGAUCAGCCACAUUGGGACUGAGACACGGCCCAAACUCCUACGGGAGGCAGCAGUGGGGAAUAUUGGACAAUGGGCGAAAGCCUGAUCCAGCCAUGCCGCGUGAGUGAUGAAGGCCUUAGGGUUGUAAAGCUCUUUUGUCCGGGAAGAUAAUGACUGUACCGGAAGAAUAAGCCCCGGCUAACUUCGUGCCAG